rnacentral:lncRNA from 1 species
AUGAAGAGUCACUGCUUUAAAAGCUUAAUUUCACCAGCAAGAAGCGUUGGACUGGAGGAUAUGGCUGAAGCCCUGCUCCUUUCAGAAGCAAAGUUACCAAGUUUUACUGCAGAAGAGCAUCUGUCUCCAGGCUGCUUUACUUCAGCUGCGUCCUUCCAGCUCCUGCAGUUGCCAAAAACAAUCAAAAUGCCAUGGAUGCCGU